rnacentral:misc_RNA from 1 species
UUAAUUUUAGGUUAAUUCAGACACAGACAUGUAGCAUAAAUACGACGCAUUGCGCCGAAGCACAGCUAUAUUCCACGGGUUUUGAGGUUGAAGGCCGAAGCCAUUCGUUAAUGAUCCCUCCGCAGGUUCACCUACGGAGA